AUCACGCCCGGCUGCUUUUUUUGUUUUAGUAGAGAGGAGGUUUCACCGUGUUAGCCAGGAUGGUCUCAAUCUCCUGACCUCGUGAUCCGCCCGCCUCGGCCUCUCAAAGUGCUGGGAUUACACGCGUGAGCCACCGCGCCUGGCCUGAAGAAAGUUAAGUUCAAUUUUGAGUUUUUUUCAUACGUAUAAAGCUGUGAUAUUUAGAUGGAAAAAGACAAAAUACAAACAACAGAAACUCCAGACUUUAUUUGGUAAAGGGGUCGUAAGCGAUUGUUGUCUAGAAUUAAUUAUUUAACUAUUUUUGGAAUGGUGUUUUGCAUUAUUUAGAAAGAGAAAAAAGUAUAAAAAAUAAAAUACAUAUAAUCUAACAAUUCCAUUAUAAACACCGACCGCACUGCUUAUUUCCUUCCCAUUGGUCAGUUGUUUGCUUCCUUCUUUCCUUCCUUCUCAGUUCCGCUCCUUUUUCCCCUUCUUUUCCUUUCCUUUCUUUUCUCCCCGUUUGUGUUCAUUUCCUUUUCUCUUCUCCUUCUUUUCUUCAUCUAUCUACUUACUUUUGUAAUAUUAUAUGGGUAUAAUGGAAACAUUUUAAUAUAAUGUUUAAUAUCUUUUAAAAUAGGAUUCUGUGUUGCCACUAUAUUCCCAUUAUAUGGAGACACCCUAAGUUGUUAACCUUCUUUGGUUUGAACAUUGGCUUCUAUCAUUUGGUAGUGAAUUUCUGUCGUUUUGCAUAUGACCAUGAUUAUCCUCAAGACAGAGUGACAGUCUAAUUUAUCUUUGGGUUUUGUCUUUGUCCUUCCAAAAUAGUAACAGCACACGCUAAGUACUCAGUGUUAGUUUUUCUGACUAAAGAAAUAAGUUUGCUUGUUUCCUGCUUUGAAUGUUAACUGUAUCUGACAUGAAGAUCAGUUAUGGAAUUCACCAGUUAGCAUUGUGUUUACAUGUUUACAUGUAUUUACAUCUAUUAAGAACAGUGCUUUUCGGAAGAAAGUAAUAUUCCUCUGCUUUAAUUAAACAUAUGCAUGUUUUCAGUAAAGAAUAAUGUUUCUGUUUCUUUAAGUAUACCUUAAUAUUAUAGGCCUUAUAUUUUACCAGAAGGACCCGAUUUAAAGCAAAAGUUGAAUGCUCUGUAACCUAUAAUCAGCCCACACACAGUCUAUCAAAAUAGCAAAAUAUCAUUUCUUUCCUAUAGAAAUAUAUAAGCUUCUAAUUUACAAAUCUGUAUGUUUAUGUUAUCAACAUGAACUUGUAUCUCAUCUUUCUGUUUAUGGGUGCGUGUUUCUUACAUUCACCAUUUUUACUGAAACGCAAGUGGCAACUCUUAUUUGCCAAGAAAAGAUGACAAAAAAUAAAGAAAUGCUUUCACAAUAAAGGGAGAAUUUGCAGUAGCAGAAAAUUAUUAGCUGAGAAAAAAUGUUAAAAUAAGCUUAUUACUUGAGCCAUGCUUUUUACUAUGAAAGUGAAAAGUUAGAAAUCAUUAUUUUAAAACUUUCACAAGGAAUAAAACGUUUAUGCAUAUAGUCAGGGAUUUGAGGUCUGAAUUAUUCAGAGUAUUUAUCUGUAUAGUUCAUAUUCCAUGGAUAUUGGCUCAAAUCUCUAUUUUGCCUGAUAAAGAUUUCAUUUUCAGUUUGACCACAUUGAACUGGGUACUAAGCAUUCAAAAGGUUGUUACAUCUCAUUUUUUGCAGAAAAAGAAUGAAAUAAUGGAAAACUUAUUGACAUACAUAAUAAGUGCAAACCAAAGACUGUGUAGGCAUUAUUAUGUAAAAAGUUCAUGCCCAGAGAGAAAUUAGAGCAGGAUACAGUUCCUCAGGGCAAGGAACUGCUAACUAUACACCCAGCUCUGUGACAUUUAGCAUUCUGUGGCCAGCCAAAAAUAAUAAUGUUAGUAAGUGUAUUGCCAGUUUUAAUUAAGUCGCAAGUGAAAUAUUUGUCAUUCCAGUUUCUCAGAACUUUUGUGCUGUGUAUAUGUUUCCAUUGUUUAUUGUUUUAUGAUUCUUCUGUAGAUUGGUGAAUGGAAAUACCUGAAAUUGCAAGAUUAGUCCGGCUGCAAUGAUAUAAUGCAUACGUCUAUACUUUAUAAAAUGCAGAGUGUUGUAAACAUUUAGACAUUGUCACUUCUUAUCAUUGCGUGUAUCAUGCAAGUAUAUAAUCCAGAUAUUGUGGAAAGUCCCAAGCCAACAUCUGUAGUCAUUUUAAAUGUAUGGAGACUAUUAACACUUCCAAAUGUCAUUCCCUCUGGAUGAGACACAAAUCACUUAAAAAGAACCAGUGACUACUUAAUACCCCAGCGAAAAACAAAGACAAUGAGUACAACUUUUCUGUGUGCAUCAGUUUACCAUUGUUUCCAAAGCUAAUAGAAAGAUCCUCAAAUGCAUACUUUUACAUACUAAUAUGUUGCAUUUCACACUAUAAACCAGACCCAGCAUAUCUGUUUAAGCAUCAGGUGCUUUAUCUAAUCCAAGUAUACUUAAUUACUUAAAUUGUAAUUAAUUCAAAAAAUGAUGUGAAUAAGCAGGAAAAUAUUCAAGAAUUUACAUAUUCUCCAUUUCAGCGACCGUUAGCCAAACUCAGAUUUAGCUGACAAGCUUAUCCCAGUUUUUGUUCUCUCCCUCUUUCUUAGUAUCUUCCAUUAAGUUUCUUGAAACUUAUUAAUCUCAUCAGUAGGAGACCAUAUCAGUCUUCUUACUUAUUAACUAACAUGGGUCAACUUCAAAGUUAACUUUUGCUAGAUUCUAUAAUCUAAACUUGAUGUAAAGAACAAAAAUAAGGCUUUCUAUAUUUAUAGCCCACUUAUUUUCAGUUUGGAGAAACAUGGAGAACCGUUCAGAAACCAAUGGUCAGCUAAUUGUGCAAACACUAAACUUUUCAAAAGAAAACUUACUUAGGAAAGAAAAUAAAUGUUUAAGAAACUAAAUUGGAUAAAUAUAUAACAUUUUUCCAGGUAUUUAACUAUAAUAGUUUCUCUACAUAUCUUUUCCUGUGAAUUUUCUUUGGAAAGCUGACUUUAAGUACACAAAAUUAAGAUGAAUUGUUCAUCUUCAGUUAACACGAUAGUAUUUUGUCUCAGACUCAUGAACUGACAAAGAAAGCAGAUAAUCCUAGGUUGAUUUACAGAGCAACAGCUAUCUUUGCAACCAGAGGGUUAGAAGUGAAAAGGAAAAAAAAUCUUAUCUUAAAUAAUAAGACUCCCUACAUAUUUGCAGAAUAAAUAAAAAUGAAAUAUCUACAGAGAGGACCUAAAUUCCCAGCCACAAUAUCCAUAUUUUUGGAUAUCAUUCUGCUGUUGAUACUAUCUGUAGUCUUUCCACACUUGCUUAGCUUGUCAUCAGUUUCCUUCAAUAGUUUGAAACCUGCUUCAGAGACAGAUGUGUACCAAUGGAGGCAUGAUUACAUGUGAGAGGCUGGACUGUGAAUAGCAGAAAAAAUACAGGGGCAGAGACAAAUAAAUAUUUUUUGUUAUAGUCGCAAACCAAGUGGAUGGUGCCCAAUUCGUAAUGCUGUUGGUCAUGAUUUUGAUUUUAUUAAUAUAGGACCAGAUUUCUAGGUGUAUGUUGUAUUCUUUGUCCAGGCUAGAGAGUAAAGAAAAGGAAGUAGGGUAAUUCCCUAUUUCUUUUUCUUUAUUUUUUAAGUUGUAUUGAUAUAUAACAGUUGUACGUAUUUUGAGGGUACAUGUGACAUUUUGAUACCUGUAUACGUUGUGUAAUGAUCAAAUUAGGGUGAUUUGGAUAUCUAUCACCUCAAACAUUUGUCUUUUCUUUGUCUUGGGAACAUUACAAUUCUUCUGGCUGUUUUGAAAUAUAAAAUAAGCUAUUGUUAACUAUAACCUCACUAAUAUACUAUUGAACACUAGAACUUAUUUUUUCUAUCUAAUUGUGUUUUUGUACUGAUGAACUAAUUUCUUUUCAUCCAACUUCCCUUCUUCUUUGUCUUCUACCGAUCCUAAGUCUAAUUUGACCACUUUUCUGCCGGUCCUGUAUUUAAAAAAGAAGGAACUCAAGAAGUAUCAAAAGAAGGAGUGUUCAAGUGGAAAACACUGAAGUAGAUUUUACUUGCUCAGCAUCCCACGGAUUUGGGGGAGAUUUUUGUGUCCAUUGCUUACCUUCAGGUGGCCAGCAAAGCCAACCAGUGGAAUGAAUUUAACAUGUCCACAACUCUGGAAGAAAAGCUGUUGUACAAUGUGCAGUGGGUACAGGGAUGGAGCUCUGCCGAGGACAACCAGUUGCUGAGAGGCAAAGCUCAUCAUUUUGAAGGGCUAGGUGAAGGCCCAUUUAAUUUCCUCCAGGAGAAAAUGUCACCACCACCAUUGGUAAGCACAGGGGAUGCAGAGUGAAAUUUGGCUACAUCUUCAUACAGAGUUGCUCCUAGAAGAGAAAGACAUGAUUUAUGACUGAAGAGCCAGUAUUUUCCCCUAGGAAAUUUAUUUCAUUUAUGAAUAAAAAAAGGGAAAGAUAUUUAAACAAGAAAUUUCCUAGUUUUGUUGAUGAUCUGAAAACCUCCCCUGCCACUUCGGCUGUAAUAAAAAAAAAAGUAAACUGAAUUCACAACAACUGGUGAUUUCUAUGCCAGUGACUGAGAAGCAGAGAGAUUAAUAUCUCCCCAAACAAAAUUCACUAAUGAUGCUUCUCUCCCCAAAAGAGUGAGUAUUACUUGGUUUCUAGAUAACA
rnacentral:lncRNA from 1 species